rnacentral:rRNA from 1 species
GUGGGGAAUAUUGCACAAUGGGCGCAAGCCUGAUGCAGCGACGCCGCGUGAAGGAUGAAGGUCUUCGGAUUGUAAACUUCUAUCAGCAGGGAAGAAUAAAUGACGGUACCUGACUAAGAAGCUCCGGCUAACUACGUGCCAGCAGCCGCGGUAAUACGUAGGGAGCGAGCGUUAUCCGGAUUUACUGGGUGUAAAGGGUGCGUAGGCGGUUUGGUAAGUCAGAAGUGAAAUUUUGGGGCUCAACCCCAGAGCUGCUUCUGAAACUGCUGAACUAGAGUGUGGGAGAGGAAAGUGGAAUUCCGAGUGUAGCGGUGAAAUGCGUAGAGAUUCGGAGGAACACCAGUAGCGAAGGCGGCUUUCUGGACCAUAACUGACGCUGAGGCACGAAAGCGUGGGGAGCAAACAGGAUUAGAAACCCUAGUAGUCC